rnacentral:rRNA from 1 species
UACGAAGGGGGCUAGCGUUGCUCGGAAUCACUGGGCGUAAAGAGCGUGUAGGCGGUCCGAUAAGUCGGCUGUGAAAGUCCAGGGCUCAACCCUGGGAUGCCGGUCGAUACUGUCGGACUAGAGUUCGGAAGAGGCGAGUGGAAUUCCCGGUGUAGCGGUGAAAUGCGCAGAUAUCAGGAGGAACACCAAUUGACGGAAGGCAGCUGCGCUGG